GCAUCGAGAUCAGACAUGAAGCCUUGAUGUUGAAAGGUCUUUCGAUGAAGACCGAAGAAACUAAAUGCUUUUGCCUUUCGUUUUCUGUUGGAACU